AUCAAAGUGACGGCGGAUGAACGCUAUUCAUCAUUCCAUAAAUGGCAAAACGCAAUGGCAGUAACUGCGUAGC